GAUGAACGCUGGCGGCGUGCCUAAUACAUGCAGGUCGAGCGAACGGACGAGAAGCUUGCUUCUCUGAUGUUAGCGGCGGACGGGUGAGUAACACGUGGAUAACCUACCUAUAAGACUGGGAUAACUUCGGGAAACCGGAGCUAAUACCGGAUAAUAUUUUGAACCGCAUGGUUCAAAAGUGAAAGACGGUCUUGCUGUCACUUAUAGAUGGAUCCGCGCUGCAUUAGCUAGUUGGUAAGGUAACGGCUUACCAAGGCAACGAUGCAUAGCCGACCUGAGAGGGUGGUCGGCCACACUGGAACUGAGACACGGUCCAGACUCCUACGGGAGGCCGCAGUAGGGAAUCUUCCGCAAUGGGCGAAAGCCUGACGGAGCAACGCCGCGUGAGUGAUGAAGGUCUUCGGAUCGUAAAACUCUGUUAUUAGGGAAGAACAUAUGUGUAAGUAACUGUGCACAUCUUGACGGUACCUAAUCAGAAAGCCACGGCUAACUACGUG
rnacentral:rRNA from 1 species